UGAAUGAGACAUAUUUUUGUCCUUGUGUUCUUUGUCUUAAUCAAAUACGGAAAGACUUAGGCAAUGUGCGUGACCAGCUACUCCACAGUUCACACGUCCUCAAAAGCAGCCGAUGCAUGAACCAGUCAUAAAUGAAAAUGAUGAGAUGACUGAAGCGGAGGAUGAUCCUCUAUCAAAGCUAAUGACAAGAUUACCUAAGUUGAAGAGAGGGCCAUUAGAAAUAUACUGGGAUUUGACACUAUUUGGUCUCCCCCCAUGUGCCAUUAUAUAUCACAUUCAAUGAUGCAUUGGAGAUCAUUGGGGGAGACAGGAUGUUGAAUAUUUCCAUCCUUCAACUAUGGUGCAUGUACAUGGACACAAUCGUUGUAGACCAAGGUCGAUCUUCCACGUACGGAUUUGUUGAACCUUAGACCAUUCAAGCUUCUGGUAACACACUUAAAAGCAAACAAUAUUAUUUGCAAUCAUGGAUGGCUGAGUCAAAUAGAGACAUAUACUUUGUGCC